rnacentral:rRNA from 1 species
AUGAGGAUACGUCACAUUGGUCAUUCAGUUUUUCGUACCCCACAUCGAAAAUUUCAUCUUCGGAAAAUUUUGCAUGUCCCUAGCACUGACAAGAACCUUCUAUCCGUUCAUCGUAUCACACUUGAUAAUCAUGUUUACAUUGAAUUUCACCCUUUUUUCUUCUUGAUCAAGGAUCAGGUCACGAGGAGAACUCUCUAUCGAGGUAGAUGUGUUCGAGGUCUUUACCCGUUGAUUCCAGAGCUUCAACAACACAAUAAACAAGCUUGUGGUGCUAUCAAGCUUUCGGCCACACGAUGGCACGACCGUUUAGGGCAUGCUUCAUUUUCCCUAGUUGAUCGUUUACUCAAAAAGAAUAAACUCCCGUUUGUUGGGGACCGAAAUAUUGAAACCAUUUGUGAUUCUUGUCAGAGAGCAAAAAGUCAUCAACUUCCAUACCCUGUUUCUACUAGUGUCUCUACUCAACCAUUGCAAUUAAUUUUCUCUGAUGUAUGGGGCCCUGCCCCAAGUUCUGUUGGUAGACACACAUACUAUGUCAGUUUCAUUGAUGACUAUAGCAAGUUCUCUUGGCUCUACCUUCUUAAAAAAAGGUCUGAAGUUUUUCAAGUCUUUAAAAACUUCCAAGCUCUUGUUGAACGGCAAUUUGAUAGGAAAAUUCUUGCUGUCCAAUCUGACUGGGGUGGAGAGUACGAAAAACUCAACUCCUUUUUCCAAACACUAGGAAUUUCUCAUCAUGUCUCAUGCCCCCACGCUCAUCAACAGAAUGGGUCUGCAGAACGCAAGCAUAGGCACAUUGUUGAAGUUGGCCUUGCUCUUCUGGCCGGAGCUUCUAUGCCCUUAAAAUUUUGGGAUGAAGCAUUCCUCACGGCUGUACACAUCAUAAACAUGCUCCCCAGUAGGGUUAUCAACAACGAAACUCCUAUAGAACGACUCCUUCGUGUAAAACCAGACUAUAAAUCACUUCGUGUGUUUGGAUGCGCAUGUUGGCCAAAUCUCCGCCCCUACAACAACCGCAAACUUAUGUUUCGCUCCAAACAGUGUGCGUUCCUUGGGUACAGUGCUCAGCACAAAGGUGUAAAAUGCUUAGACAUCUCGUCUGGUCGAGUCUACAUCUCUAGAGAUGUUGUGUUUGAUGAGACAAAAUUCCCCUUUGCUGAUCUUCACCCCAACGCCGGCGCCUUACUCCGUCAAGAAAUAUUACUCCUUCCACCUCAUCUCUCCGGCUAUCAUCAAGGGGGCCACGAAAACUGUGAUGAUCAUUUGCUGACUAAUCCUCCUAACCAUUUGCAUGAGGCUUGUGAUGUUCCAGGAGAUCAUAACGGCGAAAAUGGUGAAGAAAAUGAAGAAAACAGUGCAACGCACCAUCCAUAUCGCGUGUGUCACGGCAGAGGGAGCAGAUCCGCCUCGGGAUCCGGCGCGCCAGACCGUGGUCGCUGGUCAGGCGGGAUCUUCUGCGCCGGUUUUCUCUUCAAUGCCACAAUCGCGAGCCACAGAAGAUCAUCCAGGAGCAGAACCAGCCGAAACUGCUGGUGUAGGCGGAUCCGCCUCGGAUCUGGCGCAGGUGGAUUCAUCUGCCGGAUCUUCUGUGGUGCAAAACAACACUGGUGCACCACAACGUCGCACACGGCUGCAAUCAGGGGUAACUAA